rnacentral:rRNA from 1 species
UACGUAGGGUGCGAGCGUUGUCCGGAAUUAUUGGGCGUAAAGAGCUCGUAGGCGGUUUGUUGCGUCGGCCGUGAAAACCUGCAGCUUAACUGUGGGCCUGCGGUCGAUACGGGCAGACUUGAGUUCGGUAGGGGAGACUGGAAUUCCUGGUGUAGCGGUGAAAUGCGCAGAUAUCAGGAGGAACACCGGUGGCGAAGGCGGGUCUCUGGGCCGAUACUGACGCUGAGGCGCGAAAGCCAGGGGAGCAAACGGG